GACAGAUCUACAAGGUACUGUAGUAUCAACUAUCAAAGAUGUUGAAGCCAGCGGCGUCAUCUUCCUCAUCGUCCGCCCGGUGCUGGGCGAUGGUCGUAGCAGUGCUGAUCCUGUGUGCAGCCAACGUUGAGCUUGUCCAGGGAGGUGGAAGGCAACCGCGGCCACCUCCGGCUCCCACCACAGAGAACCAUCGUCCCCACGAUGGGUGCCCUAACUGCAAGAACAACCCACCGUCUUCGCGGCCGCUUCUUCCUACUCCUCAGGCAGAAGCAGUGGCAGAUGAGCAUGGUGUUGGUGGCCAGAGUUAGCUAGGGCCCAUCGGCCAACAGUUCAUCUGUAAUGACAGUACUUGCGCAUCAUUUCAUAUUUAUGAGGGGUGUCGUGGAGUUCCAUAUAUAGGUGGGCACUAUCUAGGUAACUUGUGUUCCGGCUUCCACUGGCGAGUUCCGACUACAAUGUCGAAUCAGUGUUGCAUCGUUUUUGAAGGCAUUGUCUUGCUGUCCAAACUAUCUAGGUUUUUCUUGAUAUUUGUGUGCAUGUAUGGUAAGUGUUGUAGUUAUCAUGCUAACAGUUGCCGGAAGUUCAAAUAUUGCCAAGUUCAUGGCACAUUCUUCCUUUUGUAAGAACUUUGGGAGCUUCAAUGAAAAAACAAUUGGUUGUGUGCA